CUCUUUCUCUUUUUUCCGUGGAGUAAAUUCUUCUCUCGUUAUUCUCUCAAGUGCCACAAGGAAUAUUAUCAAUAUUUUCUUGAAGGAAUAAGCUCUUCCUACACAAAUUAUUUUCUCCAAGAUGAUGUGGGAGGGAAUUUUUUUUUCAUCUUUCUUGUAAAUUAUGUUUAAAUAUUUACUUAUUAUGCUACUUGUAGAAUUAUAAAGCAUGAGAGCAAACCGUAAUUGAUGGAAGAGUAAAUUCCAGAGAUGCCUACCAAAAUAUUGAGACCACCCGCUAUGCGACUGAUAAGAGCAUAUGAGAGGAUU
rnacentral:lncRNA from 1 species